CACGUACUUAGGUAUCGUCACGAGCUAAUGUUCACAUGUAAACAGCAGCUCAUGUAGUGCAGAGAUUGUCCAGUCAACAAGCAUGUAGCGUAGACUGUCCAGGCGACACACGUACUUAGGUAUCGUCAUGAGCUAAUGUUCACAUGUAAACAGCAGCUCAUGUAGUGCAGAGAUUGUCCAGUCAUCAAGGAUGUAGCGUAGACUGUCCAGGCGACACGCGUACUUAGGUAUCGUCAUGAGCUAAUGUUCACAUGUAAACAGCAGCUCAUGUAGUGCAGAGAUUGUCCAGUCAACAAGGAUGUAGCGUAGACUGUCCAGGCGACACACGUACUUAGGUAUCGUCAUGAGCUAAUGUUCACAUGUAAACAGCAGCUCAUGUAGUGCAGAGAUUGUCCAGUCAACAAGGAUGUAGCGUAGACUGUCCAGGCGACACACGUACUUAGGUAUCGUCAUGAGCUAAUGUUCACAUGUAAACAGCAGCUCAUGUAGUGCAGAGAUUGUCCAGUCAACAAGCAUGUAGCGUAGACUGUCCAGGCGACACACGUACUUAGGUAUCGUCAUGAGCUAAUGUUCACAUGUAAACAGCAGCUCAUGUAGUGCAGAGAUUGUCCAGUCAACAAUGAUGUAGCGUAGACUGUCCAGGCGACACACGUACUUAGGUAUCGUCAUGAGCUAAUGUUCACAUGUAAACAGCAGCUCAUGUAGUGCAGAGAUUGUCCAGUCAACAAGCAUGUAGCGUAGACUGUCCAGGCGACACACGUACUUAGGUAUCGUCAUGAGCUAAUGUUCACAUGUAAACAGCAGCUCAUGUAGUGCAGAGAUUGUCCAGUCAUCAAGGAUGUAGCGUAGACUGUCCAGGCGACACGCGUACUUAGGUAUCGUCAUGAGCUAAUGUUCACAUGUAAACAGCAGCUCAUGUAGUGCAGAGAUUGUCCAGUCAACAAGGAUGUAGCGUAGACUGUCCAGGCGACACACGUACUUAGGUAUCGUCAUGAGCUAAUGUUCACAUGUAAACAGCAGCUCAUGUAGUGCAGAGAUUGUCCAGUCAACAAGGAUGUAGCGUAGACUGUCCAGGCGACACACGUACUUAGGUAUCGUCAUGAGCUAAUGUUCACAUGUAAACAGCAGCUCAUGUAGUGCAGAGAUUGUCCAGUCAACAAGCAUGUAGCGUAGACUGUCCAGGCGACACACGUACUUAGGUAUCGUCAUGAGCUAAUGUUCACAUGUAAACAGCAGCUCAUGUAGUGCAGAGAUUGUCCAGUCAACAAGCAUGUAGCGUAGACUGUCCAGGCGACACACGUACUUAGGUAUCGUCAUGAGCUAAUGUUCACAUGUAAACAGCAGCUCAUGUAGUGCAGAGAUUGUCCAGUCAACAAGCAUGUAGCGUAGACUGUCCAGGCGACACACGUACUUAGGUAUCGUCAUGAGCUAAUGUUCACAUGUAAACAGCAGCUCAUGUAGUGCAGAGAUUGUCCAGUCAACAAGCAUGUAGCGUAGACUGUCCAGGCGACACACGUACUUAGGUAUCGUCAUGAGCUAAUGUUCACAUGUAAACAGCAGCUCAUGUAGUGCAGAGAUUGUCCAGUCAACAAGCAUGUAGCGUAGACUGUCCAGGCGACACACGUACUUAGGUAUCGUCAUGAGCUAAUGUUCACAUGUAAACAGCAGCUCAUGUAGUGCAGAGAUUGUCCAGUCAUCAAGGAUGUAGCGUAGACUGUCCAGGCGACACGCGUACUUAGGUAUCGUCAUGAGCUAAUGUUCACAUGUAAACAGCAGCUCAUGUAGUGCAGAGAUUGUCCAGUCAACAAGGAUGUAGCGUAGACUGUCCAGGCGACACACGUACUUAGGUAUCGUCAUGAGCUAAUGUUCACAUGUAAACAGCAGCUCAUGUAGUGCAGAGAUUGUCCAGUCAACAAGCAUGUAGCGUAGACUGUCCAGGCGACACACGUACUUAGGUAUCGUCAUGAGCUAAUGUUCACAUGUAAACAGCAGCUCAUGUAGUGCAGAGAUUGUCCAGUCAACAAUGAUGUAGCGUAGACUGUCCAGGCGACACACGUACUUAGGUAUCGUCAUGAGCUAAUGUUCACAUGUAAACAGCAGCUCAUGUAGUGCAGAGAUUGUCCAGUCAACAAGCAUGUAGCGUAGACUGUCCAGGCGACACACGUACUUAGGUAUCGUCAUGAGCUAAUGUUCACAUGUAAACAGCAGCUCAUGUAGUGCAGAGAUUGUCCAGUCAACAAGCAUGUAGCGUAGACUGUCCAGGCGACACACGUACUUAGGUAUCGUCAUGAGCUAAUGUUCACAUGUAAACAGCAGCUCAUGUAGUGCAGAGAUUGUCCAGUCAUCAAGGAUGUAGCGUAGACUGUCCAGGCGACACGCGUACUUAGGUAUCGUCAUGAGCUAAUGUUCACAUGUAAACAGCAGCUCAUGUAGUGCAGAGAUUGUCCAGUCAACAAGGAUGUAGCGUAGACUGUCCAGGCGACACACGUACUUAGGUAUCGUCAUGAGCUAAUGUUCACAUGUAAACAGCAGCUCAUGUAGUGCAGAGAUUGUCCAGUCAACAAGGAUGUAGCGUAGACUGUCCAGGCGACACACGUACUUAGGUAUCGUCAUGAGCUAAUGUUCACAUGUAAACAGCAGCUCAUGUAGUGCAGAGAUUGUCCAGUCAACAAGCAUGUAGCGUAGACUGUCCAGGCGACACACGUACUUAGGUAUCGUCAUGAGCUAAUGUUCACAUGUAAACAGCAGCUCAUGUAGUGCAGAGAUUGUCCAGUCAACAAGCAUGUAGCGUAGACUGUCCAGGCGACACACGUACUUAGGUAUCGUCAUGAGCUAAUGUUCACAUGUAAACAGCAGCUCAUGUAGUGCAGAGAUUGUCCAGUCAACAAGCAUGUAGCGUAGACUGUCCAGGCGACACACGUACUUAGGUAUCGUCAUGAGCUAAUGUUCACAUGUAAACAGCAGCUCAUGUAGUGCAGAGAUUGUCCAGUCAACAAGCAUGUAGCGUAGACUGUCCAGGCGACACACGUACUUAGGUAUCGUCAUGAGCUAAUGUUCACAUGUAAACAGCAGCUCAUGUAGUGCAGAGAUUGUCCAGUCAACAAGCAUGUAGCGUAGACUGUCCAGGCGACACACGUACUUAGGUAUCGUCAUGAGCUAAUGUUCACAUGUAAACAGCAGCUCAUGUAGUGCAGAGAUUGUCCAGUCAUCAAGGAUGUAGCGUAGACUGUCCAGGCGACACGCGUACUUAGGUAUCGUCAUGAGCUAAUGUUCACAUGUAAACAGCAGCUCAUGUAGUGCAGAGAUUGUCCAGUCAACAAGGAUGUAGCGUAGACUGUCCAGGCGACACACGUACUUAGGUAUCGUCAUGAGCUAAUGUUCACAUGUAAACAGCAGCUCAUGUAGUGCAGAGAUUGUCCAGUCAACAAGCAUGUAGCGUAGACUGUCCAGGCGACACACGUACUUAGGUAUCGUCAUGAGCUAAUGUUCACAUGUAAACAGCAGCUCAUGUAGUGCAGAGAUUGUCCAGACAACAAUGAUGUAGCGUAGACUGUCCAGGCGACACACGUACUUAGGUAUCGUCAUGAGCUAAUGUUCACAUGUAAACAGCAGCUCAUGUAGUGCAGAGAUUGUCCAGUCAACAAGCAUGUAGCGUAGACUGUCCAGGCGACACACGUACUUAGGUAUCGUCAUGAGCUAAUGUUCACAUGUAAACAGCAGCUCAUGUAGUGCAGAGAUUGUCCAGUCAACAAGCAUGUAGCGUAGACUGUCCAGG